rnacentral:rRNA from 1 species
AAACAUGUCUUUUUGAAUUUAAUUUAAAGUCUAAUCUGCCCACUGAUUUAAAAUUAAAGGGCUGCAGUAAUUUGACUGUACAAAGGUAGCAUAAUCAUUAGUCUUUUAAUUGAAGACUUGUAUGAAAGAUUUGAUGAGAUAUAAACUGUCUCUUAUUUAUAAUUAAAAUUUAAUUUUUUAGUUAAAAAGCUAAAAUAAAUUUAAAAGACGAGAAGACCCUAUAGAGUUUUAUAAUUUAUAAAUUAAAAUAUUUAUAUAAAAUUUUAAUAUUAAAUUUUGUUAAUUAUUUUAUUGGGGUGAUAAAAAAAUUUAAAAAACUUUUUUUUAAAAAUUUUCAUAAAUAAAUGAAUAAAUGAUCUUGAAUAAUGAUUAAAAGAAAAAAUUACCUUAGGGAUAACAGCGUAAUAUUUUUUUUUAGUACAAAUAAAAAAAAAAGUUUGCGACCUCGAUGUUGGAUUAAGAUAAAAUUUAAAUGCAAAAGUUUAAAAUUUUGAUCUGUUCGAUCAUUAAAAUCUUACAUG